UGCAAAAUUUUUCUAUGACUUACUCAAAACUUUUUCAAUUAACAAAUAAUGUUAAAACGAUUUUACUCAAUAAUGUUAAACAAACAUAUUGUACUACGAUUUACUAAAAUAUUUUGUUCUUCACAAUAAACACUAGAAUAAUGUUUUCUUGUAAUUCUUUUUCUACGAUUUAAAAGAAAGUUAACCUUAUGUAUUACGAUAUCGAGAAUUUUAGACAAAUCUUCUGCCGAAGCUUCAAUCGCAAAUUUUCAAUUGUGUGAUUGAAUUAAGAGGGGAGGUGUCACAUGCCACGUGUGUGACCUUUAAGUAACCUUAGACCAGACCUGUUAACAAGCAAACUUGACAAACACCCAUCGAUGAGCAAUCUUUUUACAACCCUAUUACGUCGAUACACGGAUGUGAUCUGGGUAUAUAAGGCCCUAAAUUUGGAUCCAAAAAUCAGUAUCUAAUUUAAAUCAAAGCGAUCGACAUCAUCUCUGUACCAGUAGUCAGUGCGAAUCUAUACUCGUAACCUACGAAAAUCCCAGUUCAAGUAAUACCCAUCUCGUGAGUUGGAAAGGCGGUGCAUCUCAGCUGACUGUGGACGCACGAGCGGAGAACGGGUUUCCAGCUUCGAAUAGAAGCAAUAAAGGUGUUUAUUGGAAAAGGUCUUCUCUCGGCAAGAUAAAAAUAACGAACUUCAAGAAAUCAUUAUAUAAAUUUAUAUAAUAAAUUUUAUUUAACUAA